GACGAACGCUGGCGGCGUGCCUAAUACAUGCAAGUCGAACGCAGUGGGGACGGGUGAGUAACACGUGGGUAACCUCCCAUCAGAGGGGAUAACACUUGGAAACAGGUGCUAAACCGAUACUGAUGGAUGAACCCGCGGUGCAUUAGCUAGUUGGUGAGGUAACGGCUUACCAAGGCCACGAUGCAUAGCUGACCUGCGAGGGGGAUCGGCCACACUGGUACUGAGACACGGCCCAGACUCCUACGGGAGGGAGCAGUGGGGAAUCUUCGACAAUGGACGAAAGUCUGACCGAGCAACGCCGCGUGAGUGAAGAAGGUUUUCGGAGCGUAAAGCUCUGUUGUUAGAGAAGCGGUAUCUAACCAGAAAGCCACGGCUAACUACGUGCCAGCAGCCGCGGUAAUUC
rnacentral:rRNA from 1 species